UCAUUGUGCACUGAGAGAGAAAGAGGCUGCCGGGACAGAGAUGCUGCUGCUGGCUGGAGACCUUAUUGAGUCCCAGUCUCUGGGACAACAAACCGACCUUCCAAAUACAUAGCUCUUCUAAAAUGAGCUAAGAAAGGAUCAUCAAAAUUGUAUGACCUUGAAGCUUAACAAAAUCUGGAUCACUCCCUAAAACCUAUGAGGACAGUAUGAGAUAGCUUGUUCCAAAGGAUAAAGCUAAAGCAAAACCA